GUGGGGAAUAUUGGGCAAUGGGGGAAACCCUGACCCAGCGACGCCGCGUGAGGGAAGAAGGCCUUAGGGUCGUAAACCUCUGUUGUGUGGGAAGAAGAGCGUGACGGUACCACACGAGGAAGUCCCGGCUAACUACGUGCCAGCAGCCGCGGUAAUACGUAGGGGACGAGCGUUGUCCGGAUUUACUGGGCGUAAAGGGCGCGUAGGCGGUCAUUUAAGUCAGCUGUGAAAUGGUUUGGCUUAACCGGAUCAUGCGGUUGAAACUGGAUGACUGGAGUGCUGGAGAGGCAAGUGGAAUUCCCAGUGUAGCGGUGAAAUGCGUAGAUAUUGGUAAGAACACCGGUGGCGAAGGCGACUUGCUGGCCAGCAACUGACGCUGAGGCGCGAAAGCCAGGGGAGCAAACGGGAUUAGAAACCCUUGUAGUCC
rnacentral:rRNA from 1 species